GUACAUAUAGGCUGUAAAGUUGAAGCGCUAUAUAGACAAACUGCCUAAAGUAAGAAAUUUUCGUUCUUUUCCCCGUGGUGGAGAACAAUCAGGCUGUUUAUCCAAAUGAUAACAAUACAAUAAGCUUUUUUCUAAUUUAAAGCGUUUUGCCCUUCUACCGGUUGUGAUUUUUUUUUACAGUGGGACACAGCUUAGAUAACUAAAAUUCUUCCGAAGUUAAACGGUUCAUUUGGCUUUUGGUAGCAUGUAUAUUUGAAUGUCUUUAUUUUAGAAAACUUCUUGGAUCGGGAAAGCCGUCAGUAGAACAUCCGACGUUUUCCAAAGAAGUGGUACUCCUUCCAGAUGCUGAAUGCCAGAAAGUGCCCAGAGCUGCAAUCAAAGCGUGGCUGUUCGAGUCUGGUCAUAUUAAGUCAGCGGUGAAAUUUAAAGUGUGUUGGGAUGAAGGCAUGGUGAUGAAGGCGUGUUCGUGAAGCGUUCAAGCCAAAGGUUGAUACAUGCGGGCUUCAAAUUUUACUUGGAUGUCACAGCAAACUGGUGGUGCCAUCCUUGACGAGCCUCCAAACUUUAAAUGGCUUUGUGAUUAAAAAGAUAUUUCAUCAGAAGUCUCUAUAUGUAAGACCAGAUACAACACUGUUGACUUUCCCUGAGGCAUCUCCAUCAGAUUCU